AAAAAGAGCAUGGGGAAAAAGCCCCGGGCUCUUGCUUUUCAUGGAAGAAAACGGUAUACUAUCCAUUGCCGUUUGCGCGAUGAGGAUUGGGUCCUGUGCGAUCCUCCGGUGUGAACCCUGUCAGGUCCUGACGGAAGCAGCAGUAAGCGCUUGCGAGGAUGUGCUGCGGGGCUGCCCGGUCUGAGCGCAGGCGGUUUUUUU
rnacentral:misc_RNA from 1 species